UACGAAGGGGGCUAGCGUUGCUCGGAAUCACUGGGCGUAAAGCGCACGUAGGCGGACUCUUAAGUCGGGGGUGAAAUCCUGGAGCUCAACUCCAGAACUGCCUUCGAUACUGGGAGUCUUGAGUUCGGGAGAGGUGAGUGGAACUGCGAGUGUAGAGGUGAAAUUCGUAGAUAUUCGCAAGAACACCAGUGGCGAAGGCGGCUCACUGGCCCGAUACUGACGCUGAGGCGCGAAAGCUAGGGGAGCAAACGGG
rnacentral:rRNA from 1 species